GUUUCUGUAGCGCAAUGGAUAGCGCGGUCGACUUCUAAUCUAUAGGUCGUGAAUUCGAAUUCCACCUGGGAUG